UACGGGAGGGGUGCAAGCGUUUAUCCGGGAUUCACUGGGGUUUUAAAAGGGGUGCGUAGGGUGGGAGUGGUAAAGUCAGUGGGUGAAAUCUCCAAGCUUAACUUGGGAAACUGCCGUUGAUACUAUCAUUCUUGAAUAUCGUGGAGGUAAGCGGAAUAUGUCAUGUAGCGGCGAAAUGCUUUAGAUAUGACAUAGAACACCGAUUGCGAAGGCAGCUUACUACACGAUCAUUGACACUGAGGCACGAAAGCGUGGGGAUCAAACAGG
rnacentral:rRNA from 1 species